rnacentral:rRNA from 1 species
CCAGUCGUACCGGCGGGUAAUCAGCCUUUCGUGUAUGAUUCUGUGGAGCGUGAGGAGUUAAACGCCUUCAUGCCUGCAUAUUCGUGCUCUUGGGUGUACUUGCUCGUGUGGUUGGUUAACAUCAAUUUCGGUUAUUAUAAAAUGGCUGGAGGAAUGUAGCUUCGAUUUCGAUUGAAGUGUUAUAGCCUUUGGCAGGUGUGAUGAUCGGGAUUGAGGAUUGCAACGGAUACCCUUCGGGGCUACCUGUCUGGUCUCUGAUCGUUGCUCUGGUGCCGAAAGCGUGCUUACGGCUAUCAAAGUCGAUGGUCAAUAGGUUAGAACGGGAUAAA